rnacentral:misc_RNA from 1 species
AAACGACGUUAUGCAUGAACGUAAUGCUCGGCAAAUGGUUAAAAUACUUGGUCUUAAUGUAUACAAGUUUUUGAACGUAAAGGAGCAAUAAUUAAUUUAUUGUUCUAUCAAGAGGGUUAAUAUUGCUCCUUUACUUUUUAGUAGUUUCAUACAUCAAUUUUGUAUUUACUUCAACAUUCUUUACCGUUGUUUUAAGAAAAAUAUUGGAGUUUCAUCCUUUUUGUUUCUUUUUUACUAAUUUAUUUUAUACGUUUUUCUCAGCAAUCUUUCUUUAUCUUUUGAAAUGAAAAAAAAAAAAAAAAAAAAUGAAGGUUUUAAUUCUAUU